GGGUCCGUAGCUCAGUUGGUUUAGAGCGCUAGUUUCACAUACUAGAGGUCAGAGGUUCGAAUCCUCUCGGGCCCA
rnacentral:tRNA from 4 species